rnacentral:rRNA from 1 species
AUUGAACGCUGGCGGCAUGCCUUACACAUGCAAGUCAAACGGUAACGCGGGGCGACCUGGCGACGAGUGGCGAACGGGUGAGUAAAGCAUCGGAACGUGCCCAGUAGUGGGGGAUAGCCCGGCGAAAGCCGGAUUAAUACCGCAUACGACCUAAGGGUGAAAGGGGGGGAUCGCAAGACCUCUCGCUAUUGGAGCGGCCGAUGUCAGAUUAGCUAGUUGGUGGGGUAAAAGCUCACCAAGGCGACGAUCUGUAGCUGGUCUGAGAGGACGACCAGCCACACUGGGACUGAGACACGGCCCAGACUCCUACGGGAGGCAGCAGUGGGGAAUUUUGGACAAUGGACGAAAGUCUGAUCCAGCCAUGCCGCGUGCGGGAAGAAGGCCUUCGGGUUGUAAACCGCUUUUGUCAGGGAAGAAAUCCUUUGAGCUAAUACCUCGGGGGGAUGACGGUACCUGAAGAAUAAGCACCGGCUAACUACGUGCCAGCAGCCGCGGUAA